rnacentral:lncRNA from 1 species
AUUGAUCAAGACAACACAGAUACUCCGAAGAAAUUAAAAAAAGUCAAGGCUAGUUUAAGAACAAGAAGUGAGAAGAAAAGGGCUGACGCGGAAACUUCAAAACAAGCAUAACGAGAAACAAGCAUAAGAAAUGAUCUACUUGGAAAGGCAGAAAAAGAAUUAGCCUUGUAUUAAAGUAGCUCAAAUCCUUAAAAAAAAAGAAAAGGAAAGAUUUGCUCAAGAAUCGGAUACUCUGUGCCUAUCCCAAAU